GAGUAUGGAGAGGCUUUUUUUCGAUUUUUUCCACGUCAAGAAUUGCAUCGAACGCAACAACGAGGAAACGCCACUCUUGUGGGCUGUGGAAAAUGUCGCCAGCUACCACAUAACCAUUUCGAGGUUUCUCCAGAUUGAACCGAUAACAUUCGACAUGAAGGAUGCCCAAGGCUCCACCAAACAUCGUCUGGUGAACAGAAUUUCAAUCCGCAAUUGGACGAGCAAUUCAUCAACAACGACCAUUCG